GGAAUAUAGCUCAGUUGGUAGAGUGCCUGUCUGCCUUGCAUGCACAAGGUCCUGGAUUCAAUCCCUAGCACCA
rnacentral:tRNA from 1 species